rnacentral:telomerase_RNA from 1 species
UAUUUAAGGGCGCGCCCGGCGUGGCCCGGCGUCUAACCCUGAGAUGUGACUCCCGUGGGUCACGUCCUUUCCGGCUCCCGCGCUCGCUGUUUUCCUCGCUGACUUCCAGCGGGCGGGAAAGUCCAGGCCCACGGAGGCUCACCGCGCGCUCCCGAACUGCCACACAAAAAACGUCAGCGCCGGCGCCGUGGCCCGGAGCCCUGCGGCGCCAGGCCGUCCAGCCCCACACCCGCCUGGAGGCCGCGGCCGGCCUGGGGUCUCCGGACCCCGCUGCCGCCGCGAAGAGCUGGGCUCUGUCAGCCGCGGGGCGCCCGGGGCUAGGGCGAGGCCGGGCGAGCGCCGCAGGGACAGGAACGGAGCUGGUUCCCGCCUUCGGUGCUUCCCUGAGCUGUGGGAAGAGCACCCGGAACCCGGUUCCCACAGCC